UACAUGCCGCCAGCGCCAGACAUAGCCGCGCUGGCGGGCGCUCUCCUCUCCUGACUGACACUGUCACACCGUCACCCUGCCUCACUCACAGCCGCCCGGAGGAGCAGCAGCAGCAGUGCAGCAGCAUUGCUUAGCAACACUAUUGUGACCGUCGGGAUUGGCUCCCUGUCCGGCGCUGCUAACUGACGUCAGUGUCCGGGGACUCGUGGACACGCUGAUACCCGGACGGACGCGGCGGCGGUGGCGGCGUCUGACAGAAUAACAUGAUUGACACUUUCGGAUGGACCUCUGCACAGAACAAAGUGAACGGGCUCAAGCGGAAUAUGUUGCAUUAUAAAUCAUUAAUAAAAAACAUUGCUAUUAUCUUUCGUUUAUUAUUUAUAAAGUACUGUGCGGAUAAUACGUUUUUAAUUUUGGUAAAUUUUUAUUGAAGUCAACGUAAUAAAGAUCCAACGUAACAUGAUAUCUUAACAGUUGUUGGUGCUUUGAUAUUUUAUAAAAAUGUAUAUAUAAAAAUAAUAUGUAAGCUUGAUUAUAUUUUCAAGGAAUGAUUCCUCUGGAGAUAGACAUUUUUGAAGUUUCCUUGUUGAACUUGCUUGAUUUUUUAUUUUUUUUCAAACUGUGGAUAUAUAAAAAU